rnacentral:tRNA from 1 species
UCCACGCGCUGCCCCCCGGGGGGGGGGGGGGUAGGGAGCGUGUCUCUACUGUCGACCCCACGCAGGGGCCGCAGCUGGACUCCCUCCCCUCCCCUCCCCCCCCGCCGCCAGGAUUUAUGGUGCCGCCCGGGGAAGCGCUCCGCAGCCCGCCUUAGGGAACCCCCCGAGGCGGGGGCGCCGCCAGCCAAUAGCAGCGCGGGGAGGUGGCUGCGUCACGCCACGCGCGCGACCUGCGCCAGCAGCCGAGCAGCGCCCUCCUCAGCCCCGCCCUGUCUGUGCGCGCGCGCAUGCGCUCCUGAGCGCCGGCGCCCCCGCACGAAAUGGAGGCGUGCGGGUGCCCGGCUCCAGGGGAGGACGGGAGGGCUUUCGGGGCAGGCCCGGUGCCGGCGCUCCCGCCCCGCUUCGCGACCGCCUCCCGCUGAAUUAUCGGGACGGCGGAGACAAAAAUGGCACGAGGUCCCACCGAGAUUUGAACUCGGAUCGCUGGAUUCAAAGUCCAGAGUGCUAACCAUUACACCAUGGGACCGCUACAGAGCCCCUUGGCCGCUGCGUCUUGACUCUCGUCCCCGCCGCUCCGGGUGCUCGCUCGGGCCUCGCCUCCGCGGCCGGCCCGGGGCCUCCUUCGGGGGCCGCCGGCGCCGCUCCGCUGCCCCGGGAGGGGGCCGGGGUUCCGCAGCGCCGCCAAACCCGACGAAACCUGCGGGCUGGUGGCGCCGGUGCCCGCGGCAGCCGCCGUGGCCCGAAACGAAGGGGAGGGGGGCAUUGGGCUUUGCGAAGGGCCUGAGCCCCGUGCCCAGCGCCCCGCAGAGGUUCCAGGAGAGGAUCCCGCACGCUCCGACAAACCCCGGUCGUGCAACAGACCGGGGCUGCGCCCCGCCGCCCGUGAAGAACAGGCGGCAACCUCCGAGGUUUCCCUGGGCGCUGCUGCUGCCGCCCACACGCGCAUCCUCGGCCACCCGUUUCCCCACCAGCACCUUGGUUUCUUCCUUCCCCACGACUCGAUGA